rnacentral:ncRNA from 1 species
AACAGGGCGCACCAGUCGCGUGCUCUAGACCCCGAAGCGGAGUGAUCUACCCAUGGGCAGGUUGAAGCACGUAGUAAGAGCGUGUGGAGGACCGAACCCACUUAGGUUGAAAACUGAGGGGAUGACCUGUGGGUAGGGGUGAAAGGCCAAUCAAACUCCGUGAUAGCUGGUUCUCCCCGAAAUGCAUUUAGGUGCAGCGUCAUGUGUUUCUUGCCGGAGGUAGAGCUACUGGAUGGCCGAUGGGCCCUACAAGGUUACUGACGUCAACCAAACUCCGAAUGCCGGUAAGUGAGAGCAUGGCAGUGAGACUGCGGGCGAUAAGGUUGUGGUCGAGAGGGAAACAGCCCAGACCACCGGGCUAAGGCCCCCAAGCGUGUGCUAAGUGGGAAAGGAUGUGGAGUUGC